rnacentral:misc_RNA from 1 species
AAAACAUAUUGGAGUGGGAGUGAUGGGCUAAACGACCUGUUGUGUGAAACCUUUGCUGCUUCAAUUUCAUUCUAUAUGCAUAUCAACAGUCGACAUAUCUUGAAACAGCUAAAUCCUGGCUCUGGUCACCUAUAAACACCUGUACAAUCCAUAUAAUAUUUCUCAAAACACAUCCGAAAAGCCAGAUCUCUAUGCUAGGGAUUACCAUUUGAUGCUCGGUUGGUAGAGUCAUG